rnacentral:rRNA from 1 species
GACGAACGCUGGCGGCGUGCCUAACACAUGCAAGUCGAGCGGAGGUACUUGAGGAGUAAUCUGAGGGUACUUUAGCGGCGGACGGGUGAGUAACGCGUGAGCAACCUGCCUUUCACAGGGGGAUAAGGCGGCGAAAGCCGCUCUAAUACCGCAUGAGACCACGGGGAUGAUAUUCCAGGGGUCAAAGGAGCAAUCCGGUGAGAGAUGGGCUCGCGUCCGAUUAGGUAGUUGGUGAGGUAACGGCCCACCAAGCCAAUGAUCGGUAGCCGGCCUGAGAGGGUGAACGGCCACAUUGGAACUGAGAGACGGUCCAAACUCCUACGGGAGGCAGCAGUGGGGAAUAUUGGGCAAUGGGGGAAACCCUGACCCAGCAACGCCGCGUGAGGGAAGAAGGUUUUCGGAUUGUAAACCUCUGUUCUUGGAGAAGAGAAGAAGACGGUAUCCAAAGGAGGAAAGCCCCGGCUAACUACGUG